GAGAUAGAGCAAGCUCGGCGAUCGAGGUGUGGGCCGCGCGGCGCGGAAUGGAAGCGCGGGGAGUGCUCGGCGGAAGCCCGGGGUGCAGUGGGAUCGCCGGCUGAGGCCCGGGGAGGUUUAUUCACCCCGAGUCCAGGGUUUCAAGAGAGUAUGAGGUCUGUUGUUUGCCUCUGCCCAGUUACUUGGAGCACGCCACCUAGCAGGGACCCAAUGCUACCUGUUGAAGGAAGACAUCGGCUACCUGCCCUCUCAGCAGGAAGGAGCUGAAGACAGUGAGAGUUAAGAGUUUAUCUGGCCAUGUAGGGUAACCAGAUGGCAAACUGGAAGAUUCAAAAAAGAGGAAAUAUCUGCGGCUGGCAAAUAGACAGGAAAAUUCACACUUUGCUAAACCUGCUGUGACUUGGGGUGGCAUUUCAGGAGGGCAGCUUACAGUGU
ensembl:antisense Gm2415 predicted gene 2415